rnacentral:lncRNA from 1 species
AUUUUGGGUACUGAGGUAAAGAGUCCCACUGGUUUGGGACUUUUUGAUCAGGGUUUCAUAUCGAUGGACUCUGAUGCUCGAUUGCUCAUCAGAUUUGGACUCAAUAUUUAUGAGAGAUUUAAUUAGUAAUUUAUUCAUUAAUUAACUCAAUUUGAUUGAGUAAUUAUUUUUGGAUCAAGUCCAAUUGAAUUGGAUUCAGUUGAGUUUGACCCGAUUAGGUUAAGUGUUGACCUAAUCACCAAGGUUGUUUGGUCCC